rnacentral:rRNA from 1 species
CUGAUCCCUUCCGGGUGACACUUGUGGAACGAGCGGCGGACGGGUGAGUAUCACGUGGGCAACCUGCCUAUAAAACAGGGAUAACUCUCGGAAACGUGAGCUAUUACCGGAUAAUACUUUUUUUCUCUUGAUGAGAAAUUUAAAGGCGGCUUCUGCUGUGACUUAUAUAUGGGCCCCCGGCGCACUAUCUAUUUGGUGAGGUAACGGCUCUCCAAGGCGACAAUACGUAUCCCACAUGAGAGGGGGAGCGGCCACACUGGGACUGAGACACGGCCCCCACACCCACAGGAGGCGCCACUAUGGAAUCUUCCCCAAUGGGCAAAAGUCUGACAGAGAACCGCCCCGUGAGUGAUAAAAGUUUUCUGAUAUCAAAACUCUGUUGUUAUGGAAAAAAACAUACUAUAGUAACUGUGAUUACCUUGACAGUACCUAACCCCAAAGCCCCGGCUAACUACAUGCCACCACCCCCGGUAAUACAUAUGGGGCAAGCGUUGUCCGGAAUUAUUGGGCGUAAAGCGCGCGUAUGCGGUCCUUUUUGUCUGAUAUGAAAGCCCACGGCUUAUCCGUGGAGGGUCAUUGUGAACUGGAGGACAUGAGUGCGCAAGAGAAGAGUGUAAUUCUACGUGUAUCGCUGAAAUGCGUAUAGAUGUGUAGGAGCACAACUGUCGAAAGCGACUCUCUGUUCUGUGUCUGACACUCAGAUGCGAAAGCGUGUG